rnacentral:rRNA from 1 species
UUAAAGGAAUUGACGGGGACCCGCACAAGCAGCGGAGCUGUGGUUUAAUUCGUUGCUACACGAAGAACCUUACCUGGGUUUGACAUAUAGGUUGUAGGGAACUGAAAAGGGACCGACCCUUCGGGGAGCCUAUACAGGUGUUGCAUGGCUGUCGUCAGCUCGUGUCGUGAGAUGUUCGGUUAAGUCCGCUAACGAGCGCAACCCUCGUCGUAUGUUAUAUGUGUCAUACGAGACUGCCGGUAAAAAGCCGGAGGAAGGUGAGGAUGAUGUCAAGUCAGCAUGACCUUUAUAUCCAGGGCUACACACACGCUACAAUGGUCUGUACAAUGGGUAGCCAAGCCGCGAGGCGGAGCCAAUCCUGAAAGCAGGCCUCAGUUCAGAUUGGAGUCUGAAACCCGACUCCAUGAAGGUGGAAUCGCUAGUAAUCGCGCAUCAGCAUGGCGCGGUGAAUACGUUCCCGGGCCUU